UACGUAGGGUGCGAGCGUUAAUCGGAAUUACUGGGCGUAAAGUGUGCGCAGGCGGCUGAGCAAGUCGAGUGUGAAAGCCCCGGGCUUAACUUGGGAAUUGCGCUCGAAACUACUUGGCUGGAGUGUGGCAGAGGAAGGUGGAAUUCCACGUGUAGCGGUGAAAUGCGCAGAUAUCGGGAAGAACACCCGUGGCGAAGGCGGCUCUCUGGGACGGUACUGACGCUGAGACGCGAAAGCGUGGGGAGCGAACAGG
rnacentral:rRNA from 1 species